rnacentral:misc_RNA from 1 species
AACUUUCAGCAAUGGAUCUCUUGGCUCUCGCAUCGAUGAAGAACGCAGCGAAAUGCGAUAAGUAAUGUGAAUUGCAGAAUUCAGGUAAUCAUCGAAUCUUUGGACGCACCUUGCGCUCCUUGGUAUUCCGAGGAGCAUGCCUGUUUGAGUGUCAUCAAAUUCUCAAACCUCUCUAAUUUAUGUAGAGAGGCCUUUGGACUUGGCGUGUUGCUGGCUUCAUUUGUCAGCUCCUCUUAUAUGCAUUAGCUUGUACCUUGUGGAUAAGCUUUGGUUUGAUAAUAUCUAUGCCAUCGCGGUGAAACAAAGGUCUGCUUCUAAACGAUUCAGAUCAUUAACGAUUUGACCUCACAUCAGGUAGGACUACCAGCUGCACUUAAGAAUAUCAAUAAGGGGAGGCU